rnacentral:sRNA from 1 species
AUUUUAAGUAUUCCACACAAUGAUUCCUUUGAUUUCUUUCUCAGGAACAGGGCGGAUACCUGACCAACUCGUGAUCCUAGACAUGAAGCAUGGAGUGGAGGCGAAAAAUUACGAAGAGAUUGCAAAAGUUGAGAAGCUCAAACCAUUAGAGGUAGAGCUGAGACGCCUAGAAGACCUUUCAGAAUCUAUUGUUAAUGAUUUUGCCUACAUGAAGAAGAGAGAAGAGGAGAUGCGUGAUACCAACGAGUCAACAAACACUCGGGUCCUAUACUUCAGCAUCUUUUCAAUGUUCUGUCUCAUUGGACUAGCUACCUGGCAGGUCUUCUACCUGCGACGCUUCUUCAAGGCCAAGAAAUUGAUUGAGUAAUGAAUGAGGCCUAUUCUUCUCCCACCUUGUACCUCAGCCAGCAAAACAUCGCUGGGACGUGCCUGGCCUAAGGCAUCCUACCAACAGCACCAUCAAGGCACGUUGGAGCUUUCUUGCCAGAACUGAUCUCUUUUGGUGUGGGAGGACAUGGGGUACCACCUACACCCAACAAGUCAAUGAGGGACUUCUUUUUAAUUUGGUAGGAUUUUGACUGGUUUUGCAACAAUAGGUCUAUUAUUAGAGUCACCUAUGACAAAAAAAUAGGGGUUACCUAGAUAAUGCCAAAGUCAGCAUUUGUCCUGGGUUCCCUUGUGUGAUCUGUUUGGACUCUGUUUUCUUUUCUUCUCCCACUUGCUCAGCAGCUUGGGCUUCCAUUCUAGUUCUUUUACCAAGAUUUUUGUGUGACCAUGUUGACUUCAUUCGGAUUGCCCUCUUUCAAUUUCCUUGUGAAAACACCCUUAACUUUCUCUUUACCCUUAGCUGAAAUGUUUACGUAGCUUCUGGUGAUAUCUUUUCAUGAUUUUUUGUCUCUUAAAAUGGUGAUGGAUGUGACACCUCAUAAAAGUGAGCUUUGAACUGUAGAUAACUCUUAAAGAAAAUGUCAUUUUAGACAAUUAAAAUAUUUGUGCUCAACUGCUUGAACUUUUUUCGUGUAUGUGUAUUUAAUUCUAUGCAAUAUUAUGACGUGUAGAUUCAUGUGACCACCAUCACAAGAAACAGAACAGUUCUGUCACAUGGACCCCUUGCACUGCCCUUUUACAGCCACAGCCACAUCUCUUUCUUAUACCCUCACCCCAACCUGUGGCUACCACUGUUCUGUCCUCCAUCUCUGUAAUUUUGUCAUUUCAAGAAUGUUGUAUGAAUGGAAUCAUACAGAAUGUAAUCUUACGAGGCUGACCUUUUUUCAUUCAGCAUAAUUCCCUUGAAAUCCAUCCAAGUUGUUGCA